rnacentral:rRNA from 1 species
GACGCCGGCGAGUGGCGAACGGGUGAGUAAUGCAUCGGAACGUACCCAGUAGUGGGGGAUAACUUACCGAAAGGUAAGCUAAUACCGCAUACGCACUGAGGUGGAAAGCAGGGGACCGCAAGGCCUUGCGCUAUUGGAGCGGCCGAUGUCGGAUUAGCUAGUUGGUGGGGUAAAGGCCUACCAAGGCGACGAUCCGUAGCGGGUCUGAGAGGAUGAUCCGCCACACUGGAACUGAGACACGGUCCAGACUCCUACGGGAGGCAGCAGUGGGGAAUUUUGGACAAUGGGCGCAAGCCUGAUCCAGCCAUGCCGCGUGAGUGAAGAAGGCCUUCGGGUUGUAAAGCUCUUUCGGCCGGGUAGAAAUCGUGGUGGCGAAUACCUGCCAUGGAUGACGGUACCGGACUAAGAAGCACCGGCUAACUACGUGCCAGCGGCCGCGGUAAUACGUAGGGUGCGAGCGUUAAUCGGAAUUACUGGGCGUAAAGCGUGCGCAGGCGGUUGUGUAAGACAGGCGUGAAAUCCCCGGGCUCAACCUGGGAACUGCGCUUGUGACUGCACGGCUAGAGUACGGCAGAGGGGGGUGGAAUUCCACGUGUAGCAGUGAAAUGCGUAGAGAUGUGGAGGAACACCGAUGGCGAAGGCAGCCCCCUGGGUCGAUACUGACGCUCAUGCACGAAAGCGUGGGGAGCAAACAGGAUUAGAUACCCUGGUAGUCCACGCCCUAAACGAUGUCGACUAGUUGUUGGAGGGGUAAAACCCUUUAGUAACGUAGCUAACGCGUGAAGUCGACCGCCUGGGGAG